rnacentral:lncRNA from 1 species
CGUGUAAUAAAAAUAAUAUGAAGUCGAUGUUGUUACCUAAAAAAUAAAAGAAACAACAAAAAAAGAAGAGAAAUGUAUAUCUGUAUUGACAUGCAUAAUGCAUCAAGUAUCUCGUUAGGCUUUUUAUCUCUAAGGGGUAUUUAUUCCCCUAAUCCCAUUCGGGGUAUCUAUUUUUUCCGCCCCCAUCUGAUGUGGAAAGACGUAAGAGGACCGCUCUCUGU